rnacentral:rRNA from 1 species
CUACGGGGGGCUGCAGUGGGGAAUAUUGGGCAAUGGGCGCAAGCCUGACCCAGCAACGCCGCGUGAGGGAAGAAGGUUUUCGGAUUGUAAACCUCUGUCCUUGGGGACGAAGAAGUGACGGUACCCAAGGAGGAAGCUCCGGCUAACUACGUGCCAGCAGCCGCGGUAAUACGUAGGGAGAAGCGGUGUCCGGAAUUACUGGGCGUAAAGGGUGCGUAGGCAGCAUAUUAAGUCAGGUGUGAAAUACUCGGGCUCAACCCGGGGGCUGCAUUUGAAACUGAUAUUCGUGAGUGUGAGAGAGGAAAGUGGAAUUCCUAGGGUAGCGGUGGAAUGCGUAGAUAUUAGGAGGAACACCAGUGGCGAAGGCGACUUUCUGGCUCAUAACUGACGCUGAGGCACGAAAGCGUGGGGAGCAAACAGGAUUAGAUACCCGUGUAGUC